UGAGAGCUGGUGAACAUAUAGCACAAAUGAAUUUGAAUCAUUAGAAGGAACCAAGAAUUCCGCCCUCAA
rnacentral:tRNA from 1 species